GCCUACCCCUGGUGUAGCGGUUUGAGUGCUGGAUUAUGACUCUGGAGACCAGGGUUCAAAUCCCAGCGCAGCCA